UACGGGGGUGGCGAGCGUUGUCCGAAGUCACUGGGCGUAAAGCGCGCGUAGGCGGGGGCUUAAGUCCGCUGUGAAAGCCCGUGGCUCAACCACGGCGGGUCGGCGGAUACUGGGUUCCUUGAGUGGGCUAGGGGGGGGCGGAAUUGCCGGUGUAGCGGUGAAAUGCGUAGAUAUCGGCAGGAACACCCGUGGCGAAGGCGGCCCCCUGGGGCUCUACUGACGCUGAGGCGCGAAAGCCGGGGGAGCGAACGGG
rnacentral:rRNA from 1 species